UAGGGAAUCUUCGGCAAUGGACGGAAGUUCUUGACCGAGCAACCCCGCGUGAGUGAAGAAGGUUUUCGGAUCGUAAAGCUCUGUUGUAAGAGAAGAACGAGUGUGAGAGUGGAAAGUUCACACUGUGACGGUAUCUUACCAGAAAGGGACGGCUAACUACGUGCCAGCAGCCGCGGUAAUACGUAGGUCCCGAGCGUUGUCCGGAUUUAUUGGGCGUAAAGCGAGCGCAGGCGGUUAGAUAAGUCUGAAGUUAAAGGCUGUGGCUUAACCAUAGUACGCUUUGGAAACUGUUUAACUUGAGUGCAAGAGGGGAGAGUGGAAUUCCAUGUGUAGCGGUGAAAUGCGUAGAUAUAUGGAGGAACACCGGUGGCGAAAGCGGCUCUCUGGCUUGUAACUGACGCUGAGGCUCGAAAGCGUGGGGAGCAAACAGGAUUAGAUACCCUGGUAGUCCACGCCGUNNCGAUGAGUGCUAGGUGUUAGACCCUUUCCGGGGUUUAGUGCCGCAGCUAACGCAUUAAGCACUCCGCCUGGGGAGUACGACCGCNGNUUG
rnacentral:rRNA from 1 species